rnacentral:lncRNA from 1 species
AGGCUGUAGAGGCCAUCUCAGAACCUCCAUGUGGCCACCUCUUCGAAGGUCCGACGGCCAGUUUCCUCAUCCUGGACUGUCUCGAAUCGAUAGUACUCCUACAAGAUAGAAGCAAGUAUGUAUUAAUAUGUAAUUAAAAUACCAAUGUAUCAAAAAAUUAAAAAUUAAACUAGUUUUGACUUACCAAAAAUAUCUCUCAAGCUGCAUCACAAGCUUCUGACGGCCAACUCGAGAAUUUGUUUAUCGGUCCCAACGUCAAUCGGCA